rnacentral:rRNA from 1 species
GAUGAACGCUGGCGGCGUGCCUAAUACAUGCAAGUCGAGCGAACAGACGAGGAGCUUGCUCCUUUGACGUUAGCGGCGGACGGGUGAGUAACACGUAGGUAACCUACCUAUAAGACUGGGAUAACUUCGGGAAACCGGAGCUAAUACCGGAUAAUAUUUCGAACCGCAUGGUUCGAUAGUGAAAGAUGGCUUUGCUAUCACUUAUAGAUGGACCUGCGCCGUAUUAGCUAGUUGGUAAGGUAACGGCUUACCAAGGCAACGAUACGUAGCCGACCUGAGAGGGUGAUCGGCCACACUGGAACUGAGACACGGUCCAGACUCCUACGGGAGGCAGCAGUAGGGAAUCUUCCGCAAUGGGCGAAAGCCUGACGGAGCAACGCCGCGGGAGUGAUGAAGGUCUUCGGAUCGUAAAACUCUGUUAUUAGGGAAGAACAAACGUGUAAGUAACGGUGCACGUCUUGACGGUACCAAAUCAGAAAGCCACGGCUAACUACGU